CGAAGGGGCGUAGCGUUGCUCGGAAUUACUGGGCGUAAAGGGCGCGUAGGCGGACAUUUAAGUCAGGGGUGAAAUCCCAGAGCUCAACUCUGGAACUGCCUUUGAUACUGGGUGUCUUGAGUGUGAGAGAGGUAUGUGGAACUCCGAGUGUAGAGGUGAAAUUCGUAGAUAUUCGGAAGAACACCAGUGGCGAAGGCGACAUACUGGCUCAUUACUGACGCUGAGGCGCGAAAGCGUGGGAGCAAACAGGAUU
rnacentral:rRNA from 1 species